GGUGGCUCAGUGAUAGAGUGCUUGCCUAGCAUGCAUGAAGUCCUGGGUUCAAUUCCUCAGCACCA
rnacentral:tRNA from 1 species